rfam:Trachymyrmex cornetzi contig14916, whole genome shotgun sequence.
UUGAUUAAGCAGGGGUAGCAAUUGCUUGAGAAAUACCCUUAGAACCUGAUUUAGUUAAUACUAACGAAGGAAGUCUUAAUUAGUUUUAGA